UCUUUCGGGUUCUAGGCAGCCGUGGGCGCUGCGACCCUUCUCUCACUGUCAGAGGGGCGGGAGCUCUCGGCCUGCGCCGCCUCCGCUGCCUGCUUGGUCGCGGGCUUGCCGGGAAUGGUGACAGCCCGGGCCCCCUCUUGGCCAAAGAAGUCCUCGAAAGCGUUCGGCGCACGGGCUUUGUCCAGCUUUUUAAACCGUAACAAGGACCGGGGCCGGGCGCGGUGGCUCACGCCUGUAAUCCCAGCAUUUUGGGAAGUCGAGGCGGACGGAUUACUUGAGGUCAUGAGUUCGAGACCAGCCUGGCCAACACGAUGGAGUCUUGCUCCCAUGCUGGAGUGCAGUGGCGUGAUCUCGGCUGACUGUAACCUCCGCCUCCCGGGUUCAAGUGAUUCUCCUGCCUCAGCCUCCGGAGUAGCUGGGAUUACAGCAAAGAUAUCCAGACGCUGUAUGCAGGAAGAACUGAAUUUCAGAGGACACCGUUUGAUCUUCAACACCUGGCAGUUUACAAAACAGAGACGGGGUGUCGCCAUGUUGCCCAGGCUGGUCUCGAACUCUGGAGCUCAAGCGAUCUGCCUGCCUCGGCCUUUCAAAGUGCUGAGACUACAGCCUGAAGAGGAGAGGGGGAAUCCUGGUGAGAAGCAUUUGGAAUUCAAGCUCAGAGAAGAAGACACGGAGUCCCAGCUGAGAACUCAAACUGGUAGAAGGAAGAUUAUUUUUCCUUCUCUAUAGGUGCUUGGAGGUAACGAGGGGAAAGGAGUUGAAAGGAAGGUGACAUUUCAGGUAUUGAUGGGACAGCACGUGCGAGGCCUAGAGGAC
rnacentral:lncRNA from 1 species